AAUAAGGGCCGCGUUACUCAGUACGGUGCAGUGGAUGGAGAGCGCAGGAGGACAGCGCAGCCGGGAGCACUGGGGAAGGGCUGUGCAUCUGCAAGAGGAAGCUCAGACUAAGGAGUAUGUAGAGAUUCGCAGGGGGGCCCAGGUUGCCGUCUCCCUGCUGGCUUGCUUAUCCUGCGUACUAGUAAAAAACCUGUGAGGAUCAUGGCAACCAUUCCAAGGUUCUCUUUAAGCUGCCUGAACUGAUGAUGAACGUACCCAGCCUGAGGUUGCCUGCAAAACAAUGAUGAUAAAAAACUCAAAAACUGCACAUAAAGGUGAACUUUAGAGAGUUCUGCCAAGAUGGCAGACUAGUAAAAGCAGCACCCACACAAACAAAAUAUCAACACCGAUAAAGACGGCAGCCCCCGAAAAAUAUCAGAUAUCUGGAAGAUCAAUGUUUUCACUGGGAAAAGUGACAACAUCAAAGGUGAGAAGAUGAGGCCUAUCAAAUGUGGGCAUGGCACCACAACUGACUGCCCUUGUGCAGAAGGCUCUGUGGUCUAAGUUAAUUCUGCUGGCCUCUAACCCAAUGAGUACUGCUACAGGGCUCCAUUUCACCUCUCCAAGGACUAUUGUUAUGUGACCCAGAGGCUGCUGUGACUGGAGCAAAACACUACUGUGAAUGAUGCCAAA